rnacentral:lncRNA from 1 species
UAUCGAAGCCUGAGAUAGGAUCCUCAGUCAGUGUACCCUCAUCAUCGAGCUGUACCAUAUUAUCUUUUAGUUUGGGAGAGGAUGAGAAGGGACUGUUAGCUGAGAGAGUGGCAGGCAUUCUAUCUGUUCAGCUGCAGCGAUUUUAGGAUCAGAUUCUUCAGCAGCUUCAUCAAUUUCAGCAGUAGUUUCUCCAGCAGCAGCAGCAGCAGUAUUAUCAACCUCUGUUGAGUUCUUUUUCUGACCCUUCCUCAGACUUUUCAGUCGCGCCACACAUAUCCUC